rnacentral:lncRNA from 1 species
AAAGGGCGAAGUCAACGGAGAUGGGGAGCACGCCUUUGCAAUUUUAGUGAAAUAGGGCAAAUGAGGAGUCGGAUCUUUGGCAACACAUUCGCUGAUGUGGUGGGGACUAUGGCGUUAAUGGCUUUAGGGCUCUAGGGUUUCUUAUUUAGUUUUUAGGUUUGGGGCUUUUGGGUUGUUGGGUUAUUGGGCUUUAGGGUUUAGGUUAG